AUGGUUAAUGAAAAUUCAGGUGGGCAGGGCUUCUGGCCGUUGGUGAUGCUUCAGCAAGAAAAUGUACUUCUCGAAUGGACACAAAGUCAGUUCUAUCUACAGAUAUCAAAACAACAUCAUUCGAUUGCUAAAACAGCUCAUGAAAGAUGCCACCAUCGAAUUCAAAUCUACAACAGCGAAGGAAAACUAUAUUUAUCUACAUAUUCAGUUUCUUCCUCACCUCAUCUUACCACCAAACCUUCCUCAUCCAGUGACGCCAAAAAGGCUUUCCUUCUGCGGCUGGACAUGGACACGGUCUGA
rnacentral:rRNA from 1 species